rnacentral:rRNA from 1 species
ACCUACGGCCAUGCCACCCUGAACAAGCCAGAUCCCGUCUGACCUCGGAAGCUAAGCAAGGUUGAGCCUGGUUAGUAAAAAAUAAGAGAUUGUAAGCUGACAAGGUCCUUGCAAUCU